rnacentral:rRNA from 1 species
AGCGAACGCUGGCGGCAGGCCUAACACAUGCAAGUCGAACGAAGCCUUCGGGCUUAGUGGCGGACGGGUGAGUAACACGUGGGAACGUACCUUUUGGUUCGGAACAACUCAGGGAAACUUGAGCUAAUACCGGAUGAGCCCUUAGGGGGAAAGAUUUAUCGCCGAAAGAGCGGCCCGCGUUAGAUUAGCUAGUUGGUGAGGUAAAGGCUCACCAAGGCAACGAUCUAUAGCUGGUCUGAGAGGAUGAUCAGCCACACUGGGACUGAGACACGGCCCAGACUCAUACGGGAGGCAGCAGUGGGGAAUCUUGCGCAAUGGGCGCGAGCCUGACGCGGCCAUGCCGCGUGAAUGAUGAAGGUCUUAGGAUUGUAAAAUUCUUUUACCAGGGACGAUAAUGACGGUACCUGGAGAAAAAGCCCCGGCUAACUUCGUGCCAGCCGCCGCAGUAA